rnacentral:rRNA from 1 species
AGGUAAGCUACUAAGAGCGAAUGGUGGAUGCCUUGACUGGUAAAGGCGAUGAAGGACGUACUAGACUGCGAUAAGCUACGGGGAGCUGUCAAGAAGCUUUGAUCCGUAGAUUUCCGAAUGGGGCAACCCAAUGUAUAGAGAUAUACAUUACCUAUAUAGGAGCGAACGAGGGGAAUUGAAACAUCUUAGUACCCUCAGGAAAAGAAAUCAAUAGAGAUUGCGUCAGUAGCGGCGAGCGAAAGCGCAAGAGGGCAAACCCAGUGCUUGCACUGGGGGUUGUAGGACUGCAAUGUGCAAGAGCUGAGUUUAGCAGAACAUUCUGGAAAGUAUAGCCAUAGAGGGUGAUAGUCCCGUAUGCGAAAAACAAAGCUUAGCUAGCAGUAUCCUGAGUAGGGCGGGACACGAGGAAUCCUGUCUGAAUCCGGGUCGACCACGAUCCAACCCUAAAUACUAAUACCAGAUCGAUAGUGCACAAGUACCGUGAGGGAAAGGUGAAAAGAACUGAGGUGAUCAGAGUGAAAUAGAACCUGAAACCAUUUGCUUACAAUCAUUCAGAGCACUAUGUAGCAAUACAGUGUGAUGGACUGCCUUUUGCAUAAUGAGCCUGCGAGUUGUGGUGUCUGGCAAGGUUAAGCAAACGCGAAGCCGUAGCGAAAGCGAGUCUGAAUAGGGCGCUUAGUCAGAUGCUGCAGACCCGAAACGAAGUGAUCUAUCCAUGAGCAAGUUGAAGCUAGUGUAAGAACUAGUGGAGGACUGAACCCAUAGGCGUUGAAAAGCCCCGGGAUGACUUGUGGAUAGGGGUGAAAGGCCAAUCAAACUUCGUGAUAGCUGGUUCUCUCCGAAAUAUAUUUAGGUAUAGCGUUGUGUCGUAAUAUAAGGGGGUAGAGCACUGAAUGGGCUAGGGCAUACACCAAUGUACCAAACCCUAUCAAACUCCGAAUACCUUAUAUGUAAUCACAGCAGUCAGGCGGCGAGUGAUAAAAUCCGUCGUCAAGAGGGAAACAACCCAGACUACCAGCUAAGGUCCCUAAAUCUUACUUAAGUGGAAAACGAUGUGAAGUUACUUAAACAACCAGGAGGUUGGCUUAGAAGCAGCCAUCCUUUAAAGAAAGCGUAAUAGCUCACUGGUCUAGUGAUUUUGCGCGGAAAAUAUAACGGGGCUAAAGUAAGUACCGAAGCUGUAGACUUGCACACAACUUAGAUUAUUUAAGUUUAGAAUAAGUAGUUUAAGUUGUGUGCAAGUGGUAGGAGAGCGUUCUAUUUGCGUCGAAGGUAUACCGGUAAGGAGUGCUGGAGCGAAUAGAAGUGAGCAUGCAGGCAUGAGUAGCGAUAAUUAAUGUGAGAAUCAUUAACGCCGUAAACCCAAGGUUUCCUACGCGAUGCUCGUCAUCGUAGGGUUAGUCGGGUCCUAAGUCGAGUCCGAAAGGGGUAGACGAUGGCAAAUUGGUUAAUAUUCCAAUACCAACAUUAGUGUGCGAUGGAAGGACGCUUAGGGCUAAGGGGGCUAGCGGAUGGAAGUGCUAGUCUAAGGUCGUAGGAGGUUAUACAGGCAAAUCCGUAUAACAAUACUCCGAGAACUGAAAGGCUUUUUGAAGUCUUCGGAUGGAUAGAAGAACCCCUGAUGCCGUCGAGCCAAGAAAAGUUUCUAAGUUUAGCUAAUGUUGCCCGUACCGUAAACCGACACAGGUGGGUGGGAUGAGUAUUCUAAGGCGCGUGGAAGAACUCUCUUUAAGGAACUCUGCAAAAUAGCACCGUAUCUUC